rnacentral:rRNA from 1 species
GGUUUAAUUCGAAGCAACGCGAAGAACCUUACCAGGUCUUGACAUCCCGAUGCUAUUUCUAGAGAUAGAAAGUUACUUCGGUACAUCGGUGACAGGUGGUGCAUGGUUGUCGUCAGCUCGUGUCGUGAGAUGUUUGGGUUAAGUCCCGCAACGAGCGCAACCCCUAUUGUUAGUUGCCAUCAUUCAGUUGGGCACUCUAGCGAGACUGCCGGUAAUAAACCGGA